CAUCUAAACAGGUUCCCAGUAGACAGUCUGGCCCCAGAGGGCAGUCCUGCUGAGUACCUCGCAGGAGCUGGGCACCAUUCCAAGCACAUCCCACCGUUAACGCAUUUAGGCCUCACCAGGGUCCUAUAAGGUCUGAAGCCUUCCAGUGAGUAAACGCUCCCACUGAAGAUCGAAGGCCGGCGGGCUUGGGGGGAGGCAAAGAAAUGACCUUGAGAACAGAUGCCCGGGCCCCGCAGGGGGCAGACUUGCAGUUCACAGCAGGAAACGAUCCCCGUGGCGAACACUGCAAGAAUGACCGCGCGACUCCCUGGAACCCAGGCUGUGUUCGCACGCGUGGCCGGUUCACUGUGGGCCGGGAACCGUGAUAACAGCGUCGGGAAAAGAUUUUAGUUGUUAUGAUUAUAAAAGCGAGAGAAAGAAUGGUCACUGUGGGAAGAGUAGAAGAGGUGGGUGAGGACAGGAAUGAGAAGAGCGAUGGCCCCAGGCUCGCCCGGUGAGCAGCAGGCUUAACAGAACCAAUUUUUGCCUUUUGGGAGGUGAGCUGACCCCAGCUGGAAAUGGAUGGAAGACAGGGAGCUAGCUGGAAGCCAGCUGCAUGGAGACCUGAGACACUGCCGGCAGGGGUCAGCUGUGCUGCAGAAUCGAGAUGAGGAUACUGCUGGAUUCAGUAGGAUUUCUCCAAGGCCACAGCGCUGGAUUGAGAGUCAUGGUAAGUCGUGAUAUCUUGGCCUCUGGUCCCUCCUGUAUUCAGGUUUAUCUCCUUUUUAAAAUAAUGAAUAUCAUUAACAUCAUCAAUAUGAUAGCAGCAAUGAUACCACAAUAGCUUUUGUUCACUCAGUUCCUGCCACUGCUUAUCCUUGUGGGAUAUUUUACAUGCACAGACUUGACAAGUAUUUUGGCUGAGUAUUUUCAGGACAGAGAGCAGAAGCUCUUUUCUAUGCAUUAUGGGUUAAUUUUUCAGAUGUAGCACUUUUUGAAUCUGUAACGGAGAAGUUUGGUCAAAAAAUACCCAUUCAACACAUAUUGUUGCUUCAAUGACAUUUGGAGGCACUGGGUGGCACUACGUAUAUAUAGAGAAAAAGCCAAUUCCUGCCCUCGAGAAAGUCUCAGUGUAGAGAAAAUGGAAGACUAAGAGGCAGGUGGUUACCACACAGCAGGUCAA